GAUGAAGAACGUAGCGAAAUGCGAUAAGUAAUGUGAAUUGCAGAAUUCAGUGAAUCAUCGAAUCUUUGAACGCACCUUGCGCUCCUUGGCAUUCCGAGGAGCAUGCCUGUUUGAGUGUCAUUAAAUUCUCAAGACCUGUCUGCUUUUUUGAUAGGUAUUGGAUUUUGGGGGUUGCAGGCUGUUUCAAAUAAAUAGCCUUGCUCUCCUUGAAUGUAUUAGUGGAGAAAAGCCAUUGAACUCCAUUGGUGUGAUAAAACCUAUCAAUGCCAGGAGCAAUAUCACUACUUCUCUCUGCUGUCUAACUGUGACUGUCUGUAUUAAUUAGUAUGGAUGGGGACAACUUGACCAACUUGACCUCAAAUCAGGUAGGACUACCCGCUGAACUUAAGCAUAUCAAUAAGCGGAGA
rnacentral:misc_RNA from 1 species